UACGUAGGGUGCAAGCGUUGUCCGGAAUUAUUGGGCGUAAAGAGCGUGUAGGCGGCCAUGCAGGUCAGCUGUGAAACUCGAGGCUCAACCUCGAGACGUCGGUUGAAACCGUAUGGCUAGAGUCCGGAAGAGGAGAGUGGAAUUCCCGGUGUAGCGGUGAAAUGCGCAGAUAUCGGGAAGAACACCUAUGGCGAAGGCAGCUCUCUGGGACGGUACUGACGCUGAGACGCGAAAGCGUGGGGAGCAAACAGG
rnacentral:rRNA from 1 species